CCGGAUUUAUUGGGUUUAAAGGGUGCGUAGGCGGCCUUGUAAGUCAGCGGUGAAAUUUUGCAGCUUAACUGUAAAAGCGCCGUUGAUACUGUGAGGCUAGGAUUUGGUUGCUGUGGGCGGAAUGUGUGGUGUAGCGGUGAAAUGCUUAGAGAUCACACAGAAUAUCGAUUGCGAAGGCAGCUCACAAAGCCAAGAUUGACGCUGAGGCACGAAAGUGUGGGGAUCAAACAGGAUUAGAUACCCUGGUAGUCCACACUGUAAACGAUGAUAACUCGCUGUCGGCGAUAGACCGUCGGUGGCCAAGCGAAAGCGAUAAGUUAUCCACCUGGGGAGUACGACCGCAAGGUUGAAACUCAAAGGAAUUGACGGGGGCCCGCACAAGCGGAGGAACAUGUGGUUUAAUUCGAUGAUACGCGAGGAACCUUACCCGGGCUCGAACGGUGCAUGAAUGUUCAAGAGAUUGGACAGUCCUUCGGGACAUGUAUCGAGGUGCUGCAUGGUUGUCGUCAGCUCGUGCCGUGAGGUGUCGGCUUAAGUGCCAUAACGAGCGCAACCCUUGUCAUGAGUUACCAUCAGGUCAAGCUGGGGGACUCUAGUGAGACUGCCACCGUAAGGUGUGAGAAAGGGGGGUAUGACGUCAAAUCAGCACGGGCUCUUAUGUCGGGGGCGACACACGUGUUACAAUGGGGAGGUACAGAGAGCAGCUAUUCUAGUGAUAGCGCGCACAUCUCAAAAACUGUCUCAGUUUCGGAUGUGGAGUCUGCAACUCCACUCCAUGAAAUUGAUAUGGCUGAUGAACCCGCAUCACC
rnacentral:rRNA from 1 species